UACGAAGGGGGCUAGCGUUGCUCGGAAUCACUGGGCGUAAAGCGCACGUAGGCGGAUCUUUAAGUCAGGGGUGAAAUCCCAAGGCUCAACCUUGGAACUGCCUUUGAUACUGGGGAUCUCGAGUCCGGAAGAGGUUGGUGGAACUGCGAGUGUAGAGGUGAAAUUCGUAGAUAUUCGCAAGAACACCAGUGGCGAAGGCGGCUCACUGGCCCGGUACUGACGCUGAGGCACGAAAGCGUGGGGAGCAAACAGG
rnacentral:rRNA from 1 species